AGGGUUGUGGCUCAGUGGUAGAGUGCUAGCCUAAUAUGCAUAAGGCUCUGGGUUCAAUCCUCAGCACCACUU
rnacentral:tRNA from 1 species